UACGUAGGUGGCAAGCGUUAUCCGGAUUUAUUGGGCGUAAAGGGAACGCAGGCGGUCUUUUAAGUCUGAUGUGAAAGCCUUCGGCUUAACCGGAGUAGUGCAUUGGAAACUGGGAGACUUGAGUGCAGAAGAGGAGAGUGGAACUCCAUGUGCAGCGGUGAAAUGCGUAGAUAUAUGGAAGAACACCAGUGGCGAAAGCGGCUCUCUGGUCUGUAACUGACGCUGAGGUUCGAAAGCGUGGGUAGCAAACAGG
rnacentral:rRNA from 1 species